rnacentral:rRNA from 1 species
UGAACGCUGGCGGCGUGCUUACCACAUGCAAGUCGAACGAAGCACUUUAUUUGAUUUCCUUCGGGACUGAUUCUUUUGUGACUGAGUGGCGGACGGGUGAGUAACGCGUGGGUAACCUGCCUUGUACAGGGGGAUAACAGUUGGAAACGGCUGCUAAUACCGCAUAAGCGCACAGCAUCGCAUGAUGCAGUGUGAAAAACUCCGGUGGUAUAAGAUGGACCCGCGUUGGAUUAGCUAGUUGGUGAGGUAACGGCCCACCAAGGCGACGAUCCAUAGCCGACCUGAGAGGGUGACCGGCCACAUUGGGACUGAGACACGGCCCAAACUCCUACGGGAGGCAGCAGUGGGGAAUAUUGCACAAUGGGCGAAAGCCUGAUGCAGCGACGCCGCGUGAGCGAAGAAGUAUUUCGGUAUGUAAAGCUCUAUCAGCAGGGAAGAUAAUGACGGUACCUGACUAAGAAGCACCGGCUAAAUACGUG